rnacentral:lncRNA from 1 species
AAGCUAUGUGUUGACACGUGGUGCGUAAUGGUUGGGGUCCUUUUUUAUAUUAAAAGUUAGUAUAUCCGAGCGGCUAUACUCAGUUUUGAAUUUUUUUUUAAAAAAGAAAGUGUGUGACACGUGGCCCCUAUUGAUUGGGGGACAUUUUUUAGAUUUAAAAAUAGUAUAGCCGCACGGCUAUACUCAGUUUUGAAUUUUUUUUCAAGAAAGCUAUGUGUUGACACGUGGUGCGUAAUGGUUGGGGUCCUUUUUUAUAUUAAAAAUUAGUAUAGCCGAGCGGCUAUACGUGACACGUGGUCCCUAUUGAUUGGGGGACAUUUUUUAGAUUUAAAAUCGUAUAGCCGCACGGCUAUACUCAGUUUUGAAUUUUUUUUAAGGAAGCUAUGUGUUGACACGUGGUGCGUAAUGGUUGGGGUCCUUUUUUAUAUUAAAAAUUAGUAUAUCCGAGCGGCUAUACUCAGUUUUGAAUUUUUUUUUCAAAAAGAAAGUGUGUGACACGUGGCCCCUAUUGAUUGGGGGACAUUUUUUAGAUUUAAAAAUAGUAUAGCCGCACGGCUAUACUCAGUUUUGAAUUUUUUUUCAAGAAAGCUAUGUGUUGACACGUGGUGCGUAAUGGUUGGGGUCCUUUUUUAUAUUAAAAAUUAGUAUAGCCGAACGGCUAUACUCAGUUUUGAAUUUUUUUUAAAAAGAAUGUGUUGACACAUGGUCCCUAUUGAUUGGGGGACAUUUUUUAGAUUUAAAAUAGUAUCGCCGCACGGCUAUACUCAGUUUUGAAUUUUUUUUCAAGGAAGCUAUGUGUUGACACGUGGUGCGUAAUGGUUGGGGUCCUUUUUUAUAUUAAAAAUUAGUAUAGCCGACCGGCUAUACUCAGUUUUGAAUUAUUUCUUUAAAAAGAAUGUGUUGACACGUGGUCCCUAUUGAUUGGGGGACAUUUUUUAGAUUUAAAAUAGUAUAGCCGCACGGCUAUCCUCAGUUUUGAAUUUUUUUUCAAGGAAGCUAUGUGUUGACACGUGGUGCGUAAUGGUUGGGGUCCUUUUUUAUAUUAAAAAUUAGUAUAGCCGAACGGCUCUACUCAGUUUUGAAUUAUUUUUUCAAAAAAAAAUGUGUUGACACGUGGCCCCUAUUGAUUGGGGAACAUUUUUUAGAUUUAAAAAUGGUAUAGCCGCACGGCUAUACUCAGUUUUGAAUUUUUUUUACGGAAGCUAUGUGUUGACACGUGGUGCGUAAUGGUUGGGGUCCUUUUUUAUAUUAAAAAUUAGUAUAGCCGAGCGGCUAUACGUGACACGUGGUCCCUAUUGAUUGGGGGACAUUUUUUAGAUUUAAAAUCGUAUAGCCGCACGGCUAUACUCAGUUUUGAAUUUUUUUUAAGGAAGCUAUGUGUUGACACGUGGUGCGUAAUGGUUGGGGUCCUUUUUUAUAUUAAAAAUUAGUAUAUCCGAGCGGCUAUACUCAGUUUUGAAUUUUUUUUUCAAAAAGAAAGUGUGUGACACGUGGCCCCUAUUGAUUGGGGGACAUUUUUUAGAUUUAAAAAUAGUAUAGCCGCACGGCUAUACUCAGUUUUGAAUUUUUUUUCAAGAAAGCUAUGUGUUGACACGUGGUGCGUAAUGGUUGGGGUCCUUUUUUAUAUUAAAAAUUAGUAUAGCCGAACGGCUAUACUCAGUUUUGAAUUUUUUUUAAAAAGAAUGUGUUGACACAUGGUCCCUAUUGAUUGGGGGACAUUUUUUAGAUUUAAAAUAGUAUCGCCGCACGGCUAUACUCAGUUUUGAAUUUUUUUUCAAGGAAGCUAUGUGUUGACACGUGGUGCGUAAUGGUUGGGGUCCUUUUUUAUAUUAAAAAUUAGUAUAGCCGACCGGCUAUACUCAGUUUUGAAUUAUUUCUUUAAAAAGAAUGUGUUGACACGUGGUCCCUAUUGAUUGGGGGACAUUUUUUAGAUUUAAAAUAGUAUAGCCGCACGGCUAUCCUCAGUUUUGAAUUUUUUUUCAUGGAAGCUAUGUGUUGACACGUGGUGCGUAAUGGUUGGGGUCCUUUUUUAUAUUAAAAAUUAGUAUAGCCGAACGGCUCUACUCAGUUUUGAAUUAUUUUUUCAAAAAAAAUGUGUUGACACGUGGCCCCUAUUGAUUGGGGAACAUUUUUUAGAUUUAAAAAUGGUAUAGCCGCACGGCUAUACUCAGUUUUGAAUUUUUUUUACGGAAGCUAUGUGUUGACACGUGGUGCGUAAUGGUUGGGGUCCUUUUUUAUAUUAAAAAUUAGUAUAUCCGAGCGGCUAUACUCAGUUUUGAAUUUUUUUUAAAAAAAGAAAGUGUGUGACACGUGGCCCCUAUUGAUUGGGGGACAUUUUUUAGAUUUAAAAUGGUAUAACCGCACGGCGAUACUCAGUUUUGAAUUUUUUUUUCAAGGAAGCUAUGUGUUGACACGUGGUGCGUAAUGGUUGGGGUCCUUUUUUAUAUUAAAAAUUAGUAUAUCCGAGCGGCUAUACUCAGUUUUGAAUUUUUUUUUCAAAAAGAAAGUGUGUGACACGUGGCCCCUAUUGAUUGGGGGACAUUUUUUAGAUUUAAAAAUAGUAUAGCCGCACGGCUAUACUCAGUUUUGAAUUUUUUUUCAAGAAAGCUAUGUGUUGACACGUGGUGCGUAAUGGUUGGGGUCCUUUUUUAUAUUAAAAAUUAGUAUAGCCGAACGGCUAUACUCAGUUUUGAAUUUUUUUUAAAAAGAAUGUGUUGACACAUGGUCCCUAUUGAUUGGGGGACAUUUUUUAGAUUUAAAAUAGUAUCGCCGCACGGCUAUACUCAGUUUUGAAUUUUUUUUCAAGGAAGCUAUGUGUUGACACGUGGUGCGUAAUGGUUGGGGUCCUUUUUUAUAUUAAAAAUUAGUAUAGCCGACCGGCUAUACUCAGUUUUGAAUUAUUUCUUUAAAAAGAAUGUGUUGACACGUGGUCCCUAUGAUUGGGGGACAUUUUUUAGAUUUAAAAUAGUAUAGCCGCACGGCUAUCCUCAGUUUUGAAUUUUUUUUCAAGGAAGCUAUGUGUUGACACGUGGUGCGUAAUGGUUGGGGUCCUUUUUUAUAUUAAAAAUUAGUAUGGCCGAGCGGCUAUACUCAGUUUUGAAUUAUUUUUUUAAAAGAAUGUGUUGACACGUGGCCCCUAUUGAUUGGGGGACAUUUUUUAGAUUGAAAAAUAGUAUAGCCGCCCGGCUAUACUCAGUUUUGAAUUUUUUUUCAAAAAAGCUAUGUGUUGACACGUGGUGCGUAAUGGUUGGGGUCCUUUUUUAUAUUAAAAAUUAGUAUAGCCGAGCGGCUAGACUUGACACGUGGUCCCUAUUGAUUGGGGGACAUUUUUUAGAUUUAAAAUAGUAUAGCCGCACGGCGAUACUCAGUUUUGAAUUUUUUUUCAAGGAAGCUAUGUGUUGACACGUGGUGCGUAAUGGUUGGGGUCCUUUUUUAUAUUAAAAAUUAGUAUAGCCGACCGGCUAUACUCAGUUUUGAAUUAUUUUUAAAAAUAAUGUGUUGACACGUGGCUCCUAUUGAUUGGGGGACAUUUUUUAGAUUUAAAAAUAGUAUAGCCGCACGGCUAUACUCAGUUUUGAAUUUUGUUUCAAGAAAGCUAUGUGUUGGCACGUGGUGCGUA